AACGAACGCUGGCGGCAUGCCUAACACAUGCAAGUCGAACGAAGGCUUCGGCCUUAGUGGCGCACGGGUGCGUAACGCGUGGGAAUCUGCCCUUUGGUUCGGAAUAACAGCUGGAAACGGCUGCUAAUACCGGAUGAUGACGAAAGUCCAAAGAUUUAUCGCCAUAGGAUGAGCCCGCGUUGGAUUAGGUAGUUGGUGGGGUAAAGGCCUACCAAGCCGACGAUCCAUAGCUGGUCCGAGAGGAUGAUCAGCCACACUGGGACUGAGACACGGCCUAGACUCGUACGGGAGGCAGCAGUGGGGAAUAUUGGACAAUGGGCGCAAGCCUGAUCCAGCAACGCCGCGUGAGUGAUGAAGGCCCUAGGGUUGUAAAGCUCUUUUACCCGGGAAGAGAAUGACUGUACCGGGAGAAGAAGCCCCGGCUAACUCCGUG
rnacentral:rRNA from 1 species